rnacentral:tRNA from 1 species
GGACCCUUAGCUCAGUUGGUUAGAGCAUCUGACUCAUAAUCAGAGGGUCGCUGGAUCGUGCCCAGCAGGGUCCA